AUUGAACGCUGGCGGCAUGCUUUACACAUGCAAGUCGAGCGGCAGCGCGGGGGCAACCCUGGCGGCGAGCGGCGAACGGGUGAGUAAUGCAUCGGAACGUAUCCUCGAGUGGGGGAUAACCCAGCGAAAGUUGGGCUAAUACCGCAUGAGCUCUGAGGAGGAAAGCGGGGGACCUGCGAGGGCCUCGCGCUUGAGGAGCGGCCGAUGUCCGAUUAGCUAGUUGGUGGGGUAAAGGCUUACCAAGGCGACGAUCGGUAGCUGGUCUGAGAGGAUGAUCAGCCACACUGGGACUGAGACACGGCCCAGACUCCUACGGGAGGCAGCAGUGGGGAAUUUUGGACAAUGGGGGCAACCCUGAUCCAGCCAUGCCGCGUGAGUGAAGAAGGCCUUCGGGUUGUAAAGCUCUUUCGGACGGAACGAAAUGGGCGGGACUAAUACUCCUGUCUGAUGACGGUACCGUAAGAAGAAGCACCGGCUAACUACGUG
rnacentral:rRNA from 1 species